CCUAUGGGAGGCAGCAGUGGGGAAUAUUGGGCAAUGGGCGCAAGCCUGACCCAGCAACGCCGCGUGAAGGAAGAAGGCUUUCGGGUUGUAAAACUCUUUUGUCAGGGACGAAGCAAGUGACGGUACCUGACGAAUAAGCCACGGCUAACUACGUGCCAGCAGCCGCGGUAAUACGUAGGGGGCAAGCGUUAUCCGGAUUUAUUGGGUGUAAAGGGCGUGUAGGCGGGAAUGCAAGUCAGAUGUGAAAACUAGGGGCUCAACCCAUAGCCUGCAUUUGAAACUGUAUUUCUUGAGUGCAGGAGAGGCAAGCGGAAUUCCGGGUGUAGCGGUGAAAUGCGUAGAUAUACGGAGGAACACCAGUGGCGAAGGCGGAUUGCUGGACUGUAACUGACGCUGAGGCGCGAAAGCGUGGGGAGCAAACAGGAUUAGAUACCCCGGUAGUC
rnacentral:rRNA from 1 species